rnacentral:lncRNA from 1 species
AUUGGCUUCCUCCCCAAACUCCUCCACCAUGCUCCAUCUUGGUCUCGAUCCAUAGCCAUUAGCCAACAGUCCAUGGCUAGCUGCCAACGGUAUGUAUUUUCGAUUUUGCCAUUUUGGAGUUUAGUUCUUGUAUUUUGUAACUUGGACGAUUUUUUAUAUAUAUUUUUAGAUUUUAGUACUUAAUAUGGAUUAUUGAGAUUUGAGAACGGGUUGUAUAUUGAUUUUUGAGAAAUAGAAUACAAAAUUUAUUGGAGUUUGGGUUGUAUGGAUGAAAUGGAAUAAAAAUUUUUACUCUCGUUCCUGGCUUUGUCUUACAGUUGUGCUGAGCUUUCCAAAAUUAAUUAAAGGGGGGGAGGGGGGGGGGGGGGGGGGGGGGAGAAGAGAAAUUGGUGUUGAAAAGUUAUAAUUACUAUCAAAGAGGUGACUUUCGUUUUUUCCCCUCGGCAUUUAGGCUUUUCUUCUCAAUUUUGUCCUAGAAUCUUUCCGUAGCUGGUGAAAACAUGUAAUCUAUGAGGCUCUAAGAUAAAAGUAUUGAUAUAAUAGUAAGAUAACAAAAAAGCGAAACCAAUUCCACUGUAACUAUUUAAAAUAAUAGAAUAAUAUCAUGGAAAUGAGUGACAAGGGAAAUGAGCCAAUUUGAAAUAUGAAAUUAUGAAUCAUUGGAAUUUAAUAUACUUACUUAAAUCCUCAUUGAAAUUGAUAAACAAGUGCAAUGUUUCUUAUAAUUCAAGUGUAACCUUACGGGUUCACUAAUAGCAUUAUCAAAAUGAAAUUUGUAUUUGUUCUUGUUUUUCAGCAAUAAGUCACUUACUGACAUGGUAGAAUACAAGUUGAUUUUUUAGCUUAUUUGAUCUUCUUUUUCUUCUUGAUUUUGUCUGUUUAUUCGCAGUCACAAUUGGUUGGAAGAAUUUCUAAGAAAAUGGCAUUUACACUACUAAUUCAUUCAUGUUGGAAAGAUCUUUGUCUGGCGUCUACCAACCAAAAACAUAUACCGUAGUAAGUAAAUGUCCCCAUCUCUCUACUUAUUGCCUUGCCGGCAAAUAUUGAAUUGAAUGUUGUCACCUAUUUGUCUAUGUUGCCUUGUUGGCUUAAUAAAUUAUUUUUAUCACCUCUCAAGAAGAAUAAGAACUUGUUUUCCUUCUUCCAAAGGGUAGAUAGACCUAUAGAAAGUACAACUUCUGAUGGACUAACUAAAGAAAACCUUUAUUUCAACCAGAAAUCGAACGACAUUCAUCCUCAAAUAUUAGCAUUGAAUGAGAACCGGGAAAAAGAAAGCAAAUACUUGAAUUUCCUUUUCAUCUGCGAGAUGAGAUUAGAGUGACGUAUCUAAAGGCUGGGCCUUAUCAACCAAAACUUGUUGAGUAUCCAAAGACACAAGGAAAAUCUCAGUCUCGUUGCUGUCAGGCAAAAUGGUUCAACUAGUUUCCUUGGCUAGAGUAUUUACCUAUAACAAAUAGGGAUAUUGUUAUCUUUUUCAAAAUGAUGGGAAUUCGUACAAUUGUUUGGCACUAGUAACUUCUGAAUAUAAAUGAUGGAAAAGGGUUAAUGAUGGAUCAAAAUGUGCGUUUCUUACGCAUUUGUGAUCAUCGGAUCAUAAUAGGUGUGAGAGAAGAGCUAAAGAUUUAAUGAAACUAUCUCAACAUAUUGAUAAAAUGAUGCAUAUCGUAUUGAAUUCAGAAGUUAAGAAACAUCAUUUACGUUUAAAUACUUCAAUUCGAAGUGCUUGAUGGCUAGCAUUUCAAAGUUGUUCCUUUAGAGGUUAGGAUGAAUCUCCAUCUUCAUUGAAUCGCGGAAAUUUUCUUGAAAUGAUAAAAAUUUUGGCAAAAACGAAUGCAGAAAUUGAUCUAGUUGUUUUGAAUAAUACUCCAAAAAAUGCACAAUACAUUGCUUCAAGUAUUCAAAAAGAAAUCUUACACAUAAUAGCGAAUAAAGUAAGAAUGAUGAUUCAAGAAGAAAUUGGUGAUGGGUACUAUUGUAUUCUUGUUGCUGAAGCACAAGAUCCAUCUAGGAGAGAACAAAUGGCCAUUAGUUUGAGGUUUGUGAGUCGUCAGUGUAUUUUGAUGGAACGCUACUUUGGUAUCAAAAGCGUCACUGACACUGCAUCAUCAAAUCUAAAAAAUGAGAGGCCAAUGAUGUGAUGGUGCUAGUAAUAUGCGGGGCACUUAGAAUGGACUUCAAGCAUUGUUUCUUAAAGAUUGUCUAUAUGCAUCUAAUAUCCAUUGUUUUGCUCAUUGAUUACAAUUGGUAUUGGUUUAUGCAGCUAAAGAAGCUGAUGUUAUUUGGGAGUUCGUUUCUCAUUUGGACAAUAUUAUCAACAUUAUCACUUCCUUCCAUAAGCGCAUUAUAGAGUUACAAUCUGCUCAAAGAAAUGAAAUUGAGCAAAUGUUAGCUACAGGGGAGUGUGAGUCUGGAAGAGGAGCAAAUCAAGUGAAUAAUUUACAACGAUCAGGAGCAACUCAUUGAAGUUCUCAUAAUGACUCUAUAAAGAGCUUAAUAGAUACGUACACUACAACUUGCAAGGUGUUUGAAAAUCAUAUUGUCCAUUGUCCAAAUGUAAGAUCUCGGGGUGAAGUUUGUGGACUUACAAACAUAUGAAAAUUUCUGAUUGUGUUCAGUUUGCAUUUAAUGCAUAACAUCAUGAGAUUAACCGAUAAUCUUUGUCAGGCACUCAAAGGGAAUCUUUAAUCAUCUUGGCUGCUAUGAGACUUGUUUCUACUACAACAAAACUCCUUAAAAAGGGAGAGAUGAUGAUUGGGAAGAAUUUCUUCUGGAAGUAAGAAAGUUUUGCUCAAAACACGAUAUUGAGAUACCCAACCUAGAAAGUUUGUACAAGGUUGGUCCUUGUUGUUCUCGUGAUCAAAUUACAAUG